rnacentral:rRNA from 1 species
UAGGGAAUCUUCCACAAUGGACGCAAGUCUGAUGGAGCAACGCCGCGUGAGUGAAGAUGGGUUUCGGCUCGUAAAGCUCUGUUGUUAAAGAAGAACGUGGGUGAGAGUAACUGUUCACCCAGUGACGGUAUUUAACCAGAAAGCCACGGCUAACUACGUGCCAG